rnacentral:tRNA from 1 species
GGAUUUGUGGCUCAGUGGUAGAGCACUUGCCUAGUUGCAUGUGAAGUGCUGGGUUCAAUCCUCAGCACCA